UGGGCGAUUAACUCAGUGGGAGAGUGCUAUCUUCACACGGUAGAAGUCGGCAGUUCAAAUCUGCCAUCGCCCAU
rnacentral:tRNA from 1 species